AAAUGCGAUAAGUAAUGUAAAUUGCAAAAUUCAGUGAAUCAUCGAAUCUUUGAAACGCACAUUGCGCCCGGCAGUAAUCUGCCGGGCAUGCCUGUCCGAGCGUCAUUUCAACCCUCGAACCUCCGUUUCCUUAGGGAAGCCUAGGGUCGGUGUUGGGGC
rnacentral:rRNA from 1 species